UCAUUAUGGGUCCACCAUUGGU
rnacentral:siRNA from 1 species